rnacentral:lncRNA from 10 species
UCCUUGCCAUCUCAUUGAUCAUCACACUGAAAUAAACUCAUUGAAAAUUAUUCAAAGACAUCAUGACAGAUACUUCCUAAAUAAGGAAGAAAAUGUUGAUUUCCUAACCUGCAGAUUUUUGUAAACAUUGGUUUUGGAUGUGAACUUAUCAAGACCCUGCUGUGUAAGUUUAAUAAUCCAUGUAUGGGUUGAGUAUCCCUAAUCUGAAAAUCUGAAAUCUGAAAUGCUCCAAAAUUCAAAACUUUGAGCCCUGACACGACACUGAAAGGAAAUGUUCAUUGGAGCACUUCAGAUUUUUGAAUUAGAGAUACUCAACUAGUAAUAUUGCAAAUAUUUGGAAGUCCAAAAAUUCCAAAAUACUUCUGGUCCCAGGCAUUUUGGAUAAGGGAUAUACUCAGUCUGUAAUACACUAAGUGUUCUUUGUUAAAUUAUUAGGUUUUUGUUAGAUACAAGGGAAUAAUGAAAUUAUUUUGUUUUUCUUGAAUUCAUCUUUAAGAUUUUAAAUUCAUUAGAAGAAUUCAUUAUAAGGUAAUCAUCAGCAUUUUGUUUUUCUUUUCCAGAAUUUAUAGAAGAAAAUUUCCUAGCAGUUCUUUAAAAAGAACUUAGAAACCCAAAGGUUUUUGAAUCUGUAGAUUUUCCUUUUGGCAUUAUUUUUUUCCUUAAAUUUCUUUUUUCUUUUUUCCUUGAGAACAGCCUGUGAGACAAGAAGAAAAAGGAAGAUUUAGUGUUGUUUCUUGUUAAGAAUGGUUUGGCUGGGCACGG